UAGUCAUAUGCUUGUCUGAAAGAUUAAGCCAUGCAUGUCUCAGUAUAAAUUCCUGUACAGUAAAACUGCGAAUGGCUCUGUAAAACAGUUACAAUUUUUUUGGCAGUUGGUUAGAACUUUGGAUACCUACGGCAAUUCUAGAGCUAAUACAUGCCCAUAGGCCCUACUUAUCGGAAGGGUUGUGCGUAUUAGAUUUCCACCCAACCCGGGCUUCCCGGACCCCAAUUGACUCAUGAUACGUUUGCGAAUCGCCAUUUCUGGGCGAUGCGUCAUUCGAGUUUCUGACCUAUCAGCUUCCGACGGUAGGGUCUUGGCCUACCGUGGCAUUGACGGGUAACGGAGGAUUAGGGUUCGAUUCCGGAGAGGGAGCCUGAGAAACGGCUACCACAUCUAAGGAAGGCAGCAGGCGCGCAAAUUACCCAAUCUUGAAAAAGGGAGGUAGUGACGAGAAAUACCAAUAUAAGGUUUUCAUGCCUUGUAAUUGGGAUGAGUGCAAAGUAAACCGCUCUACGAGUAUCGAUU
rnacentral:rRNA from 1 species